AUACUUACAUGGCAGAGGAGAUACCACGAUCACAUGGUUCUCUCAAGGCAGAGGUCAUCCAAAGCACUCAGGUCUUUCCAACACCUGCAGUUUCCUCAAGCAGGGGAACUCAGCUGCACAAUUUCUGUUCGUGGGGAAUUUCGCACUGUCCCCC
ensembl:snRNA U1 U1 spliceosomal RNA